rnacentral:snRNA from 1 species
CUCAGCCAUAAGAGAAGCAAAA